GUUUGUGUGCGAGCAGCGCCGCCUGCCGGCCGGAGGAGGAACCGCAGCCCGGCGGCGGCAGCAGCAUCAGUGUGCCGCAGAGCUCUCUCUCUCUGCUCGGCGCAGAUCUCAACAUCACACCGCUGCGUUUACCACCGACCGCGGAGGACCGCGAGGACCAAACCAAAUGUUUAGGGUGGUUCACUGUGUGAUCCGUGGUCAAAGGUCGGGUUAAAGCUGAACAUGAAGAACCUGAAACCUGGAGACAAAGCUGCAAAAACUUUCAGAUUUCAUUCAGCCCUUCUACAGCUCCUCGAUGUGCCCAGCAGAAAUUCUUCUCAAGAAGAAGUUGACUGGUCUGCGCAGAGCUCUGACAUCACCCCCAACCAACAGCUCAUACUGAUAGCCAGACCGGAUCCCCUGAAGCCCUGCAGCAGGUUCAGCAUCUGGUGGAAAGACUGAAUCCGAGUGGAGGCUGUUAGAGCAGCAACAUUCAUGAAAACACCAACAACAAAACAACAGAACAAGCUUGCUUCAUUGAAAUCAUAAAAUAAUAACUUCAUUUUCAUGAGAGACAAAGAAUGAUAUUCUGU